GAUGAAGAACGCAGCGAAAUGCGAUAAGUAAUGCGAAUUGCAGAAUUCCAGUGAGUCAUCGAAUCUUUGAACGCACAUUGCGCCCUUUGGUAUUCCGAAGGGCAUGCCUGUUCGAGCGUCAUUAUCACCCCUCAAGCCCUCGGCUUGGUGUUGGACGGUUUGGUGGAGGCCCCCUCGGGGGCUCCUGGCCCUCCCAAAGACAAUGACGGCGGCCUCGUUGGACCCCCGGUACACUGAGUUCUUCACGGGACACGUAUCGGACACAUGGGUUUACGGGACACGGUCUGCCUCCCCUCAGGGAGAAUCUUUCUAAGGUUGACCUCGGAUCAGGUAGGGAUACCCGCUGAACUUAAGCAUAUCAAUAAGCGGAGGA
rnacentral:misc_RNA from 1 species